AUUGAACGCUGGCGGCAGGCCUAACACAUGCAAGUCGAGCGGCAGCGGGAAAGUAGCUUGCUACUUUUGCCGGCGAGCGGCGGACGGGUGAGUAAUGCCUGGGAAAUUGCCCAGUCGAGGGGGAUAACAGUUGGAAACGACUGCUAAUACCGCAUACGCCCUACGGGGGAAAGCAGGGGACCUUCGGGCCUUGCACGAUUGGAUAUGCCCAGGUGGGAUUAGCUAGUUGGUGAGGUAUGGCUCACCAAGGCGACGAUCCCUAGCUGGUCUGAGAGGAUGAUCAGCCACACUGGAACUGAGACACGGUCCAGACUCCUACGGGAGGCAGCAGUGGGGAAUAUUGCACAAUGGGGGAAACCCUGAUGCAGCCAUGCCGCGUGUGUGAAGAAGGCCUUCGGGUUGUAAAGCACUUUCAGCGAGGAGGAAAGGUUGAUGCCUAAUACGUAUCAACUGUGACGUUACUCGCAGAAGAAGCACCGGCUAACUCCGUGCCAGCCGCCGCCGUAAUAC
rnacentral:rRNA from 1 species